rnacentral:rRNA from 1 species
UAUGAAACCCAUUUGGGAGAGAGUAGUACUAGGAUGGGUGACCUCCUGGGAAGUCCUCGUGAAAGGGUUUCAUAU